rnacentral:rRNA from 1 species
UUUUCUUGAAUUGAUUGGAAAUCGGGCCUGUCCACUGAUAUUAAAUUGAAGGGCCGCGGUAUUUUGACCGUGCAAAGGUAGCAUAAUCAUUAGUCUUUUAAUUGAGGGCUGGAAUGAAUGGUUUGACGAAAUAAUAACUGUCUCUAAUAUAAUUAAAUUGAAUUUUACUUUUAAGUUAAAAGGCUUAAAUAGUAAUAAGGGACGAGAAGACCCUAUAGAUCUUUAUAAUAUAUUUUAUAAUGUAAAUUUUGGAUGUUUAAUUUAUUUAUUAAUUUAUAUUAUUUUAUUGGGGUGAUAUGAGAAUAUUAUAACUUCUUAAUUUUGAACUUUGAUGGGAGAAAAUAAAAAAUCCUUUAUUAUUGAAUAAAGAUUAAGAUACCUUAGGGAUAACAGCGUAAUCUUGUUGGAGAGUUCUUAUUGAUAAUAAGGAUUGCGACCUCGAUGUUGGAUUAAGAAUAUAUGUUGGUGUAGAUGUUAAUAUUAUUAGUCUGUUC